GUGCCAGCAGCCGCGGUAAGACGGAGGUGGCAAACGUUGCUCGGAAUUACUGGGCUUAAAGGGCGUGUAGGCGGCCGACUAAGUCGGGUGUGAAAAACCUCGGCUCAACCGAGGCAUUGCAUUCGAUACUGAUCGGCUGGAGUGCGAGAGGGGCAAGUGGAACUCCAGGUGUAGCGGUGAAAUGCGUAGAUAUCUGGAGGAACGCCGGUGGCGAAAGCGACUUGCUGGCUCGUAACUGACGCUGAGGCGCGAAAGCUAGGGGAGCAAACGGGAUUAGAUACCCCGGUAGUCC
rnacentral:rRNA from 1 species